rnacentral:rRNA from 1 species
CCGCAAGGCUAAAACCCAAAGGAAUUGACGGGGGCUUACACAAGCGGUGGAGCAUGUGGUUUAAUUCGAAACAACGCGCAGAACCUUACCAAUCCUUGACAUAUGAAAAACCAGGGUGUUUACCCGCUCUGUCUCUUUUAUACAGGUGCUGCAUGGCUGUCGUCAGUUCGUGGUGUGAGCUGUUGGGUUAAGUCCCAGAACGAACGCAACCCUCCUUUGAAAUGAAGGUUUACCUUUUUCAAAGACUGCCAAGGAUAUCUUGGAGGAAGGUGAGGAUGACGUCAAGUCCGCAUGGCCCUUAUGGGUUGGGCUACACACGUGCUACAAUGGGAAUGACAAAAGGAGGCAACAUGGCAACAUUGAGCAAAUCCCAAAAAGUUUCCUUAGUUCGGAUUGUUCUCUGCAACUCGAGAACAUGAAGUUGGAAUCGCUAGUAAUCGUAGAUCAGCACGCUACGGUGAAUUUGUAUCUAAGCCUUGUACACACCGCCCGUCACACUCUGAAAAUUUUCUUGCCUUGAAGCAAAAGAAGUUCACCAAGAACACACAGCGCAAUUAAAAAAAAACAUCUUCCCUUUUUUUUCUGUGUCUUUGUUGGAACCUUUUCUAGAGUUAGGGAGGUGAUUGGAGUG